UUCCUGAUGGUCCGGUGGUUAAGACUUUGUGCUUUCAGUGCAGAGGCCCAGGUUCAUUCCCUGGUCAGGGAA
rfam:Ovis aries breed Texel chromosome 10, whole genome shotgun sequence.